rnacentral:tRNA from 1 species
CCUGCUUGGCGGGCGGGCAGUUCAGGCCAUUGGCGCUGGUUUGACCCUGGUAUCGGUACCGGCGCUGGUACGCGACCGGGUAGCGGGCC